GCACUGGUCGCAUGGCCUGGCGCGGGAAAGAUUUAUCGGUUCGGGAUGGACUCGCGGCCUAUCAGCUUGUUGGUGAGGUAAUGGCUCACCAAGGCGACGACGGGUAGCCGGCCUGAGAGGGUGACCGGCCACACUGGGACUGAGACACGGCCCAGACUCCUACGGGAGGCAGCAGUGGGGAAUAUUGCACAAUGGGCGCAAGCCUGAUGCAGCAACGCCGCGUGAGGGAUGACGGCCUUCGGGUUGUAAACCUCUUUUAGUAGGGAAGAAGCGAAAGUGACGGUACCUGCAGAAAAAGCACCGGCUAACUACGUGCCAGCAGCCGCGGUAAUACGUAGGGUGCAAGCGUUGUCCGGAAUUAUUGGGCGUAAAGAGCUCGUAGGCGGCUUGUCGCGUCUGCUAUGGAAUCCCGAGGCUCAACCUCGGGCCUGCAGUGGGUACCGGCAAACCUAGAGUGCGGUAGGGGAGAUUGGAAUUCCUGGUGUAGCGGUGGAAUGCGCAGAUAUCAGGAGGAACACCGAUGGCG
rnacentral:rRNA from 1 species